AGUAAUGCUUGGGAAUCUGGCUUAUGGAGGGGGAUAACUACGGGAAACUGUAGCUAAUACCGCGUAGAAUCGGAAGAUGAAAGUGCGGGACCGCAAGGCCGCAUGCCAUGAGAUGAGCCCAAGUGGGAUUAGGUAGUUGGUGGGGUAAAGGCCUACCAAGCCUGCGAUCUCUAGCUGGUCUGAGAGGAUGGCCAGCCACACUGGAACUGAGACACGGUCCAG
rnacentral:rRNA from 1 species